UUGGGCCUACGGGGGGCAGCAGUGAGGAAUAUUGGUCAAUGGUCGGGAGACUGAACCAGCCAAGCCGUGUGAGGGAUGAAGGUACAGAGUAUCGUAAACCUCUUUUGUCAGGGAACAAAGGCGGGGACGUGUCCCCGGAUGAGUGUACCUGAAGAAAAAGCAUCGGCUAACUCCGUGCCAGCAGCCGCGGUAAUACGGAGGAUGCGAGCGUUAUCCGGAUUUAUUGGGUUUAAAGGGUGCGUAGGCGGGUUAUCAAGUCAGCGGUAAAAUCGUGGAGCUCAACUCCAUCCAGCCGUUGAAACUGA
rnacentral:rRNA from 1 species